AGAGUUUGAUCAUGGCUCAGAGUGAACGCUGGCGGUAGGCCUAACACAUGCAAGUCGAACGGCAGCACAGAGGAGCUUGCUCCUUGGGUGGCGAGUGGCGGACGGGUGAGGAAUACAUCGGAAUCUACUCUGUCGUGGGGGAUAACGUAGGGAAACUUACGCUAAUACCGCAUACGACCUACGGGUGAAAGCAGGGGAUCUUCGGACCUUGCGCGAUUGAAUGAGCCGAUGUCGGAUUAGCUAGUUGGCGGGGUAAAGGCCCACCAAGGCGACGAUCCGUAGCUGGUCUGAGAGGAUGAUCAGCCACACUGGAACUGAGACACGGUCCAGACUCCUACGGGAGGCAGCAGUGGGGAAUAUUGGACAAUGGGCGCAAGCCUGAUCCAGCCAUACCGCGUGGGUGAAGAAGGCCUUCGGGUUGUAAAGCCCUUUUGUUGGGAAAGAAAUCCAGCCGGCUAAUACCUGGUUGGGAUGACGGUACCCAAAGAAUAAGCACCGGCUAACUUCGUGCCAGCAGCCGCGGUAAUACGAAGGGUGCAAGCGUUACUCGGAAUUACUGGGCGUAAAGCGUGCGUAGGUGGUUAUUUAAGUCCGUUGUGAAAGCCCUGGGCUCAACCUGGGAACUGCAGUGGAUACUGGAUGACUAGAAUGUGGUAGAGGGUAGCGGAAUUCCUAGUGUAGCAGUGAAAUGCGUAGAGAUCACGAGGAACAUCCAUGGCGAACGCAGCUACCUGGACCAACAUUGACACUGAGCACGAAAGCGUGGGGAGCAAACAGGAUUAGAUACUCUGGUAGUCCACGCCUAAACGAUGCGAA
rnacentral:rRNA from 1 species